UUUCUUUCUUUCUUUCUUUCUUUCUUUCUUUCUUUCUUUCUUUCUUUCUUUCUUUCUUUCUUUCUUUCUUUCUUUCUUUCUUUCUUUCUUUCGUUCUUUCGUUCUUUCGUUCUUUCUUUCGUUCUUUCGUUCUUUCUUACGUUCUUUCCUUCUUUCUUUCUUUCUUUCUUUCUUUCUUUCUUUCUUUCUUUCUUUCUUUCUUUCUUUCUUUCUUUCUUUCUUUCGUUCGUUCGUUCGUUCGUUCGUUCGUUCGUUC
rnacentral:lncRNA from 1 species